GACAUUUUAACUAUACAAGUAUAUAUUUUGAAAAUAUAAAAAAGAUUAUUCUAAAUGUCU
rnacentral:tRNA from 1 species